rnacentral:lncRNA from 1 species
AGCAAAGUAGGAACCGGGUUCUUGGAAUGAAAAAUCUCGAUAGCAUUCAUGUCCACGAAGUUGUCGAGGUUCGGAAAGAGAAUGAGCCCGUAGAUAAGCAAAGCAAGAAUAGCCUCGAGUGUAUCCUGACGAGUAGUACCGAGAUUAGCCUGAUCAAGAAGAUACUUCGAAGUGAAACCCCGGAUGUGAGACUUGGUAAUAAGAUGGUUGGAGACGUCGGAAGUCUUGAGGUAGAGAUCCUUAGCAAUAACCAGAGGAGUAAGAGAAGUCCCGGGACCGGUGAAAGGCGUCUUCUCGGCUAUAGGUAAACCCACUAGAUUGGAGUAAGCCUCGAGAGUAGGAACCAACUGGAAGUCCGGGAAAGUGAAGCAGCGGAAGCUCGGAUCAUAAAACUGUACUAGAGUGUGCACUAGCUUCUCGUCCACAUCGGUUCGGAGCAAAGUAAGCAAUCCCCCAUACCGGAGUCGGAACCCUGUUUGACUCUUGACUUUGAGUGCCAACUCUCUCAAACUAACCAAAUCCACUUCCUUGAACUUGUAGCACUUAGUCUUCUUCAUACCUGUGAUUAUUUACAAAAAUUUCCAUUUGUUUAAACCCUUCGAUGAAUGCAUGAAAAAUGUUUAUGCAUGAAUGUAUGUAUGCAUGAUUGUGUUGUUUAGUUUACAAAGGACAAGGUGGGUUGAGAUUCAAAGUAACGGAUGGACACGGCGUCCGGUGAACUAAGGCUUUGGAUAGUAGUAACCAAGGUUCUAACACAGUUCCCAAACUGCAACCUCUCUCACAUAUAUCAUGGUAGUACAGGACGACACCCGUUCCAUGAUUAUUUGUGAGAAGGUCUAGUUUGAGUGUAGUAUCGCGUGACGACUAAAGUUUGAGACAACACUCAAUUUAGCCACCGCACUACGUCCUAAAAAGGCUAGGAUGGGUUUGGUAACUACGGUUCAUAGCUUCGUCGAACAAUUGAAAGUGAAGUGCCUAAGCAUGACAACAUACGCCGACAAUAUCACCUUCAAAAUGCCUCAGCUAUGUGAGAUUGAUCGCAUAAUCCAAUACACGAGGCAACCCCCAGAUCGAAUUGUCGAUUAUAUCUCUACCUAAACAUAAGUUCACUCAGCCCGGGUAUAGGACUUUUGAUAUUCUCACCCCACACGUUAAAUGAAAAUAAACAAGUAUUCACAUGUAAGUAAUAAAACAAAGCGUAAAUAUAAACUAAGGAAAACUAGGCGCGACCCGCUAAAAAAAGGUCCCCAGUGAAGUCGCCAUUUCUGUUAUCAUGGUUUUUGGGUGCCAAGCCAUUAAUUGGACUUGAACCUUUUGACCGUUGAUAUCUCUCUUUUUUCUUGGGAAGGGUAAAAGGAGAAAAACCCUUGAGUUUCCGAAUUCGGGGGUCGUUUUCGCUACGGGAAGGUGUUAGGCACCCGGAGCGAUUAUGGUAUUCCAUAAGAACCGCUCUCCUAAGUUUAUUUCUACGCUUUAGUUUUAUUGCUUAUUUUUGUAAAAAGGAAGGUAUGAUUAGUGAAGAAUGGGGGUGAGAAGAAGUAGAAUUUGAUUUUAUUUCGGCUUGGAUGAGUUUUGACUCAUUGCCUACGUACCGUUUUACGGGAUUCAAACCGGGCGUAGUUCUUGCUCAAAAAUGGUUUUUGUUUUUGUUGGUUGAUUUUAAGUUUGAAAAGAGAUUUUGAAGAAUAGAGAUGAGAAGCCUCAAGGGCAUGAGAUUUGGAAAAAAGUGAGGUGGAGUUAGCUUUUUCAAAAUGAAGUCCAAGUAUAGUUAAGAUUUGUUAGAAAUUUUACUUAAGAAAAUAAAAGGGAAAAGUUAUGGGAGUUUUGACUCCAUUUUUUAUAAAAAUAUUUGAAGUGAAUUUAUUUGCAUAUUUUUUGGAAAAAAUUGGAUUUUAUCUAAGUGUUCGAAACUAAGCGUUCAUCUAAUCAUGCAAUCCUAGCCAUACAUCUAUGCAUACAAUCCUAAGCAUACAUCUAGGGUGAGUGUGUGCGUGCCGGUGCGUCAUAGUGUCCAUGGUCCAUAUUACAAAAAUUGCCUAAAUACAUUCUAUGGCCCCUUUGCCAAGCUACAAACCAAUGAUAACAAAUUACACCUCUAAAUGAAUUAAAACUUGUAAACAUAAAUGCUAAGCUAGAGAAAGUGGAGGAGGUAGUGAAAUGCUAUGAACGGUAACAAGCUUUCCAUUCCUUAUGAACUUCAACUUCUGAUGUAAAGUGGAGGUUACCGCACCCGCAUCGUGUAUCCACGGUCUUCCCAGCAGACAACUGUAGGAUGCAUUAAUGUCCAUCACUUGGAAGGUAACCAAGAAAUUCUCAGGGCCAAUGGUUAUCGGCAAGUCUAUCUCCCCUAGCACAUUCUUUCGAGAUCCGUCAAAAGCUUUGACCAAGAAAGUACUUCUCCUCAAAGGGGUCCCACGGUAGCUCAACUGAUCUAGAGUUGUCUUGGGCAUUACAUUGAGGGAGGAACCGGUAUCCACCAACACAUUUGAUAUCAUGUCUGAUUUGCAAUUCACCGAGAUGUGUAAAGCCAGAUUGUGACUCUUUCCCACUUCCGGCAACUCUUCUUCACUAAACCAGAGGUUGUUACAAGCAGUAAUAUUUCCCACUAUGCCACCGAAACGAUCUAUCGUAACUUCGUGGUCAACAUAAGCCUGCUCCAGCACUUUCAACAAGGUAUUCCUGUGAGCCUCAGAGCUUAAGAGUAAUGACAAGACAGAUAUCUUCGAAGGAGUCUGCAGCAAUUGAUCAACGAUCUUGUAGUCGCUCCUCUUUAUUAUCCUCAGAAUCUCAUCUAAAUUCGAAUCCUCUAUAGAUUUGCCUGACUGGUUCACAUCUGUAGCAAUGGGUGAAACAACGGUUGGAGUUGCUUCUUCAACUGGUGGAAUGGUCGGUGUAGCUACCUUCUUCUGAAAUAACGGCGGACGAGCCUUCCCGCUUCUUAGCGCUGCAGAAGUCCCUUCGGCGAUAUUGCUUACUGUGGCAAAGGAGGCUAGAGGCACCUCUACUCCAUUUUCUAUCAUGGUAGCAUUGUAUUUGUAUGGAACAGCCUUGUCCGAGACAUAAGGAAUUGGUCCUGGCAACCUUAUGACCAAAGGCUCAGCAUUCUUCUUCAAAGGUACACUUUUGACAGGCGGAUCGUGAAAAACUGGCACUAUCACGCAAACAUCACCGACAGUCAGAAGAUUAUCAUUCAUCAAGCUUUGGAUGUCGUCUUGAACAGUAUAACAACCCAAAGGAUCACGGAGGCAUCCCAGACACUUGGCAUGAUCAUGGCUGAACAGAGAAGCUUUGCACAGCUUGAUGUGUAGAGGUACCAGAGGAGUUGCGACGUUGCGGACAUCAAGUCUAGGAGCUUCCUCGCACACUUCGAUCAUAUUCACAGCGGCAUGAUUUGGAAGAGGAUUAUCGAGGACAUGUGGAACAUUAUUCUCAAAAGUCAGCUUCCCUUGAUCAACAAGCUUCUUCACGAUGUACUUCAAAGCAUAACACCCCUCAACAUCAUGACCUAAGGCACCCUGAUGAAAAUCACAUUUGAGAUCAGACCUGAACCUUGGAGGCAACGGAUCAGGUGGGGGCUUGCCCUGUCUAGUUGUACAAUGCCCUCUCUGGAGUAAAGUUGGAAGCAACUCAGCAUAUAACAUCUGUAUCGGAGGGAAAGUAGGUCUAGCUUGCUGAUUUUGUUGUUGUUGUUGUUGAACCGGCAUCUGUUGUUUCAUCUGUUGGGCAAUUGCAUUGACGGGUACUUGAGGUUGACCCGGUGGCAGAGGGUACUGAUGAUAAAAUGGCGGGAAGAAAGGAUGCUGAGAAUACGGCAUAUAUGGGUAUGACGGAGGCAUUUGAGCUGCAUUGAUAGGAGCAACGGUAGCCAUGGAUUGACCGGCUCCUGCUGACACCAUCCCCACUUCCGCUUCUUUCUUCUUGUGGUGUCCAUUACCAUACCUCUUCAACGCACUCGCAGAAGAUUCAGCUUUCUCAAACACAAUGAUUCCAUCCCUGACGGCUUCCUCAAGACGGGUUCCCAUGGUGACCAUCUCCGAAAAGUUGUUCGGGGCAGCGAUGAUCAUCCUCUCAACAUAAUCUUUCUUCAAGGUCUUUAAGAAUGUCUGGGUCAUUUCUUCUUCAUCUAAAGCAGGAGUGAUACGGGCAGCCGCCCCUCUCCACCUUUGCGCAUAUUCACGGAAACUUUCCUCCUUCUUCUGAGAUAGGGACCUGAGAAACUCCCUAUUUGGCCUCAGUCGAGUGUUAAACCCAUAAUGGCUCUUGAAAGCGGUGGCUAAUUCAUCAAAGGUAUGGAUGUCAUUCUUGCUCAAACUAGUAUACCACUCUGCAGCAUCCUCCAUCAGACUAUCCUGAAAACAGUGGAUCAUAAGGGAAUCAUUGUCUUUGUAAUUGCCCAUCUUCCGGACGUAUUUGAUGAUGUGAUUUUGAGGACAAGUUAGCCCGUUGUACCGGUCGAAGUCCGGAAUCUUGAACUUUUUAGGAACAUCCACUUUUGACACUAAGCAAAGGUCUCGAGUUUUGACAGAGUCUGCAUUCCCUCGAUUGGCCUGGAUCUCGUGACGGAGUUCUUUAGCAAGUUCCUCCAUCAUCUCUUCCAUAGUCUUGGUUACGGGGAUGCUUCCGUGCUGUGUGUUGAUGUUAAUACCUUGAGGCAGAGUAUGUACCAGUGACUCAGUGACAGCAGCUGUUGUUUGUGGCAAAGUGGCAUUGAUAGAGGCAGCAUUUGUUGCAGGGAUCAGAACAUUGUUAGCAGUGCCUGAGGUGCCUGCUGUAGCAACGGGAGUGAAGAACGGUGGAAGCCCAUACGGAAACCCACUGGCAUAGUAAAGCGAUUGUCUGCAGAAGUGGUAGGGAGCACGCUUGUAGUUACUGGUGCAGCUGUGGUUGUAGGGAUAGCUGUAGCUGAUUGCUCUUGAGCAGCUAGUAGAGCAGUCAUGACGUCAUUAGCUUUAGCCAAUUCCUCCUUUAGAGAGGCUAACUCGGUGCGAAGCUGAGCGUUCUCUUCUUCCAUAGCCCUUUUCUUUCUUCUGUAUUCUCUGGUUCGAUCAAUUCUAUCAGGUUCGUAAACUCUCUGAGCACGAGCCACUUUUCACACUGAGGCAGAGAAACCAGGAGAUAGUGAGCACUUGGAAGCCUUUGUGACCAAUGCAUGAUGCAUAUGAUGCAUGAUAUGCAAAUGCAAAUGCGAAAGACUUCUUUUUUUUUUCCAUCGAAGGAUUUUUAAGCAAAUUAGAAAUCUUGCAAAUAAACAAAACUACAUAGCAUUUUCAAAAGGAAGACUUUUGAAAUUUCAACAAGAUAAACAAAUGAAGCCCUCAAGCAUAGGAAGUAGUCGGAGCGCCAUCGGACUCGGAAUCUGAAUCACAGUAUCUGUCAAAGAAGUCUCGUCGUCCUCUGGCUCUCUUGGAAUCCCUCAUAAGCAGCUCGUCUUUCUCUUCCAAUUCCCUCCGGGCUUUAGCUAGUUCCUUCUUCAACAUCAGAUUCUCAUGAGUCUUCUGCUCAUCUCUACCAUCCAAAGUCAUGAUUAGAUUCUCAGCUUGAUCGUACCGAGCUUUCCAUACUUGCUUCUCACGACUCUCCAUAGCUAGAUGCUCCUGAUACAUAUCCUGAGUCGCGGGGAGCAAAGGUAGAGGCAUAGAUGGAGUAGAUGAAGACACGUAUCUCAUAGCUGGAUAAGGCAUACCAAUCUCCUAAGCUCGAUCUAUCACCCACUGAGUAUAGGCCUCAUGAGCAACACCGGAUCUCACACCUAGAUGCUUCACACUCUUCCUUCGAACCUUGGACCAAGCAUCCAUGAAAGCUUUCCUUUGUCCGGUAGGAGCAUUCGUGUAGAAGAAGAACUCUGGAGAUGUAGCAAGAUUGAUGGGCUUCGACUUCAUAGGGAAACCAAACUGUCUCAUAGCAAGUUCGGGGUUGUAGUUGAUUCCCCCACGGGUACCAAGAAGAGGUACAUUGAGAAAGUCUCCACAACCCAUAAUGAUUUCCUUCACCUGAGCGGCCGGAGUGAGCCAAACGACCUCAUUAGGAGUAAGGGCCAUAAUCCGCUGCGAGUAGGACCAGUUCUCCGAGUUGUCAUGGAAGGAACUCGGAAGGUGCGAAAUAAACCACCUAUACAAAAGAGACGUGCAGCAAAGAAUAUAUCCCCGGCCCUUGAGAUUCCUGUCAUGAAUGGCAUGGUAAGUAUCUGCUAGCAAAGUAGGAACCGGGUUCUUGGAAUGAAAAAUCUCGAUAGCAUUCAUGUCCACGAAGUUGUCGAGGUUCGGAAAGAGAAUGAGCCCGUAGAUAAGCAAAGCAAGAAUAGCCUCGAGUGUAUCCUGACGAGUAGUACCGAGAUUAGCCUGAUCAAGAAGAUACUUCGAAGUGAAACCCCGGAUGUGAGACUUGGUAAUAAGAUGGUUGGAGACGUCGGAAGUCUUGAGGUAGAGAUCCUUAGCAAUAACCAGAGGAGUAAGAGAAGUCCCGGGACCGGUGAAAGGCGUCUUCUCGGCUAUAGGUAAACCCACUAGAUUGGAGUAAGCCUCGAGAGUAGGAACCAACUGGAAGUCCGGGAAAGUGAAGCAGCGGAAGCUCGGAUCAUAA